ACAGUGUGAACGUACCUAACGCCACCGCACUGCGCCCUGAAAAACAGCGAGAACGGCAACUUGUAGGUUGUGUGUUCUUUGCCACAAUGAUAAUGAAAAGGUCGUGCUCACUCUGGGCUCUGACGCAAUGAAAACGAAGCCAACAGCGUAGCCGGGAUCGGCUGGUCCGGCGAGGUCCCGCCCCGCCCGGACGGCCACCUGCGCCCCGCUACGGCCUCACCUCCGUGCCAGGCUGCUCGGCCCAGUUCGGGCGCACAGCCCGGGCCGCGCGGGUGGAUCCACGGCCAUCGCCGCGGGAGCCGCGGGCGGCGGAGCGGAGCCGACAGAGCCACCGGCCCCGGGACCAGCCGACCCACCUGGACACCCCGCACCCCGGACCCGGGGGACAACCCCAUGGCCGCGCGGGGCCCCGAAGCCCCCAGCGGGCGCGCGCUGCGGGACGCGGCAGAAAAUCUAUUUCAGGAACUUCAAGAACACUUUCAAGCUCUGACUGCAACGUUAAACCUGAGAAUGGAAGAAAUGGGAGGCCGCAUUGAAGACUUGCAGAAGAAUGUGAACGACUUGAUGGUGCAAGCUGGGAUUGAAAGUUCUGCUCAAGAGCAAAUGGCGAGGCGUUAUUAAGGCACUCAGGCUCCGGACGCGCAGGCUCAGCGGCCAUGGCUCACGGGCCCAGCCGCUCCGCGGCAUGUGGGAUCUUCCCGGACCGGGGCACGAACUCGUGUCCCCUGCAUCGGCAGGCAGACUCUCAACCACUGCGCCACCAGGGAAGCCCUGUUGGACAGCAGACACCAUCAUCCCCUUCACAUGGGAGGAAACGGAGCUCUGGGGGCUACUCGCUCAAGGUCCUCAGUAACGACAGAGCCUGGCUGUGAAACCAGGUAGGGGCUCCAGGGUGUGCCCCCCACAGGCCCCGGGCUGCCUCCACGCCGUAUGCCCCCUCUUUCACCUCAGAGGCUGUGUGCCCUGAGAUGUGCCUGUGAAGAUCCCAACCAACAACACGCUGCUGGGGUAAGAGACUCAGGAGAGAAACUUGAGAUUGUGAUAAGGAAACUAGCUACACGGACUGAAGGGUCAUGGUUGCUAUGGAAAAUACGAUGCAUUUAAGUGCGUUAGAUACAAUCUUAGGAGGCAUGAGAAACACCUCUUACUUUUUAUAUUUAAAGGGAGUCCAAAAAUCAUUGUUGCACUGUUUUUAUAACCAGAAGAAUAAAAGAUGAUUUUUCCCUUUUCCUGAACUCAAGCCUUUGGUUCUGCUGUGGGUCGAACUGUGCCCCCUGAAAGUUCACAUGUUGGGAAUCCUCACCCCAGGACCUCAGAAUGUGCCCUUUCUAGAGACGGGGCUGUUGCAGGUGUAACUAGUCGAGAUGAGGUCAUGCUGGAGCAGGGUGGCCCCCACCCAGUGGGGACACUUGCACACAGACACGCACACGGGGAGAACACCGCGUGAAGACGAAUGCUGGGCCUGGGGUGAGGCAUCACCAGCCAAGGGACCCAAAGAUGCCGGAAACCACCAGGGCCAGCAGGGUUUAGGAACAGACUCCCCGUCAGGCCCUGGAGGACCAGCCCUGCCGACACGUGGAUCUGACCCCAGCCUCCAGAACUGUGUCGCGUCACCAGUCUGAGGUCCCUAAUUACAGGAGACCCAGGAAACUCAGACAGACUCUGACAAGUGUGCAAACCACAGCAGCCCCAUGGGACCCACACCUGAACCUCACUCAACAGUGAAGAGUUAAUUCUUGACUACCAAAAUCACUAAUCUAUACACUACUUUUCAUAAGAAAUGAUUUUGACUGUUCCCAUCACCAUGUAUUUUAUUUCAGCUAGAUAUUUACAGAUAUUUGCUGAUACAAAAAUGCAAGGACCAGGCAGACUGAAAGUUGAGGCAAUGCCAUCCUCACUGCAGAACCCUCCAGCUCCUUGAGCUCUGUGUACUUUCCCAAACGCUUUCUCACAGGCUUUAAAUAGUUGAAAAUGUUUCCGCGUGAGAACGACCCCACGGCACUGCAUGCACCAGGACUGGACGGGGGCUCAGUAUCUGUACUUGGUGGAGUAGUCCUUCGGGGACACGACCAGGCCGCGGCCCUUCCGGGCCCCCCGGUACACCGUCUCGAUGAUGUCAAUCAUCUCCUGCUUGUCUUCCAUGGCCCAGUUGAUCUUGUUGUUGUUGCCAGUACCCAGGUCGAUCAUGAUGUGCUUGUUCCUGUAG